GACGAACGCUGGCGGCGUGCCUAAUACAUGCAAGUUGAGCGCUAAGGGUUGGUUCUUGUGCCGUCUUCAUGUGCCGCACACGUGUGAAUAACGCGUGUAACCUCUCCCUUUUAUUGGGAUACCUCCUUUUAACACGAGUGCUUAUCCCGUAUAAGAUCUUUCUACACGGUUUUUGAUUGUUAGUUUUGGCGGUUCGGGAUGGACUCGCGGACUAUCAGCUUGUUGGUGGGGUAGUGGCUUACCAAGGCCUUGACGGGUAGCCGGCCUGAGAGGGUGACCGGCCACAUUGGGACUGAGAUACGGCCCAGACUCCUACGGGAGGCAGCAGUGGGGAAUAUUGCAAAAUGGGCGGAAGCCUGAUGCAGCAACGCCGCGUGCGGGAUGACGGCCUUCGGGUUGUAAACCGCUUUCGCCUGUGACGAAGCGUGAGUGACGGUAAUGGGUAAAGAAGCACCGGCUAACUACGUG
rnacentral:rRNA from 1 species